rnacentral:rRNA from 1 species
GACCAGACUCCUACGGGAGGCAGCAGUGGGGAAUAUUGCACAAUGGGGGAAACCCUGAUGCAGCAACGCCGCGUGAGUGAAGAAGUAUUUCGGUAUGUAAAGCUCUAUCAGCAGGGAAGAAAAUGGCGGUACCUGAGUAAGAAGCCCCGGCUAACUACGUACCAGCAGCCGCGGCAAUACGUAGGGGGCAAGCGUUAUCCGGAUUUACUGGGUGUAAAGGGAGCGUAGACGGCGAUACAAGUCUGAAGUGAAAGCCCGGGGCUCAACCCCGGGACUGCUUUGGAAACUGUGUUGCUGGAGUGCUGGAGAGGCAAGCGGAAUUUCUAGUGUAGCGGUGAAAUGCGUAGAUAUUAGGAGGAACACCAGUGGCAAAGGCGGCUUACUGGACUGUAACUGACGUUGAGGCCCGAAGGCGUGGGGAGCAAACAGGAUUAGAUACCCUGGUAGCG